rnacentral:rRNA from 1 species
GAAUUUUCCGCAAUGGGCGCAAGCCUGACGGAGCAACGCCGCGUGCGGGAGGACGCCUUUCGGGGUGUAAACCGCUGUUCGUGGGGACGAAGCACUGACGGUACCCACGGCGGAAGGCCCGGCUAACUACGUGCCAGCAGCCGCGGUAAUACGUAGGGGCCGAGCGUUGUCCGGAGUUACUGGGCGUAAAGCGUGCGCAGGCGGCGCGUUCUGCCCGGCGUGAAAGCCCCCGGCUCAACCGGGGAGGGUCGUCGGGGACGGGCGCGCUUGAGGGUAUCAGGGGCUGGUGGAAUUCCCGGUGUAGUGGUGAAAUGCGUAGAGAUCGGGAGGAACACCUGUGGCGAAGGCGGCCAGCUGGGAUACACCUGACGCUGAGGCACGAAGGCGUGGGGAGCGAACGG